rnacentral:rRNA from 1 species
ACUCCUACGGGAGGCAGCAGUGGGGAAUAUUGCACAAUGGGGGAAACCCUGAUGCAGCCAUGCCGCGUGUGUGAAGAAGGCCUUCGGGUUGUAAAGCACUUUCAGUAGGGAGGAAGGUAGUGUAGUUAACACCUGCAUUAUUUGACGUUACCUACAGAAGAAGCACCGGCUAACUCCGUGCCAGCAGCCGCGGUAAUACGGAGGGUGCGAGCGUUAAUCGGAAUUACGUGGGCGUAAAGCGCAUGCAGGCGGCCUGUUAAGUCAGAUGUGAAAGCCCGGGGUCUUAACCUCGGAAUUGCAUUUGAAACUGGCAGGCUAGAGUCUUGUAGAGGGGUUAGAAUUUCAGGUGUAGCGGUGAAAUGCGUAGAGAUCUGAAGGAAUACCAGUGGCGAAGGCGGCCCCGUGGACAAAGCUGACGCUCAGAUGCGAAAGCGUGGGAGCAAACAGGAUUAGAUACCCCGUGGUAGACUGUCA